GGAAGUGAACCAUCUCAGCACCUGCAGGAAGAGAAAUCAAUCGAGAUUCCGCUAGUAGCGGCGAGCGAACGCGGACAUAGCCCAAACCUCUGUGCUUGCACAGGGGGGUUGUAGGGCCUGCCUGGCCGUGAGGCCGGCGAGUUACCAACCAAUUUGUUAGUCGAACACUCUGGAAAGGGUGGCCAUAGAGGGUGACAGCCCCGUAGGCGAAAACAAAUUGGCUCGCUGGGUAGGUACCUGAGUACCGCGGGACACGUGGAAUCCCGUGGGAAUCUAGGAGGACCAUCUUCUAAGGCUAAAUACUCUCUAGCGACCGAUAGUGAACCAGUACCGUGAGGGAAAGGUGAAAAGCACCCCUGUGCGGGGAGUGAAAUAGUACCUGAAACCGUAUGCCUACAAGCAGCGGGAGGGCGUUUGCCUGGAGCUUGCUCCGGGUGUUGCCUGACCGCGUGCCUUUUGCAUAAUGAGCCGGCUAGUUAUUCUCAGUGGCGAGGUUAAGCGUAAGCGAGCCGUAGCGAAAGCGAGUCCGAACAGGGCGUUUAGUCGCUGGGAAUAGACGCGAAGCGAGGUGAUCUACCCUUGGCCAGGGCGAAGCGUGAGUAACAUCACGUGGAGGCCCGAACUAGUGUUGGUUGAAAACAACUUGGAUGAGCUGAGGGUAGGAGUGAAAGGCCAAUCAAACCUCGUGAUUGCCCGUUCUCCUCGAAAUAUCUUUAGGGAUAGCCUCGGGAGGUCGGCGUUGGUGGUAGAGAUCUGAAUGGACUAAGGGGCUUACCAGCUUACUGAAUCCAACCAAACUUCGAAUGCCAACGACACGUGUCCCGGGAGUCAGACGGCGGGGGUCUAAGCUUCGUCGUCGAAAGGGAAACAGCCCGAGCUACCGGCUAAGGUCCCUAAAUCUGUGCUAAGUGGUAAAGGAUCUGGAGACACUCAGACAACCAGGAGGUUGGCUUAGAAGCAGCCAUCCUUUAAAGAAAGCGUAAUAGCUCACUGGUCAAGUGGCUCCGGGCCGAUAAUACAACGGGGCUCAAGCACAGUACCGAAGCCGUAGAUUGCACGUAACCUUCGGGGUCAAUGGUAGAGGAGUGUUCUCACAGCAGUGAAGCCAGACCGUAAGGACUGGUGGAGUGGUGAGAAGUGACCCUGCCGGCAUAAGUAGCGAUAAGAGAGGCGAGAAUCCUCUCCGCCGUAAGCCUAAGGUUUCCUGAGGAAGGUUCGUCCGCUCAGGGUUAGUCGGGUCCUAACGCGAGGCCGAAAGGCGUAGCGGACGGAUAUCGGGUUAAUAUUCCCGAACUACCUGGAAAACGUUAUCACGAUGGGGAGACGCAGGAGGCUAACCGGGCCCACGAUUGGACGUGUGGGUUCAGGCAUGUAGGGGGAUUCGCCAGGUAAAUCCGGUGAGUCACAUACCCUGAGGUGCCAUGGCGAAGCGCUAACGCGCUAUAAAGCCGGUGACGCCACGCUGCCGAGAAAAUCCUCUAAGGAGUGUUCCAGGUACCCGUACCGCAAACCGACACAGGUAGGCGAGGAGAAAAUCCUCAGGCGCAAGUGAGAACCCUCGUUUAGGAACUCGGCAAACUCGCCCCGUAACUUCGGAAGAAGGGGUGCUCCGUGUAACGUGAGCCGGUUCGCCCGGCAGAGCGUGAGGGAGUUGCAAUAAAGAGGCCCAGGCGACUGUUUACUAAAAACACAGGACUCUGCCAAGUCGAACACGACGUAUAGGGUCUGACGCCUGCCUGGUGCCGGAAGGUUAAAGGGAGGGGUUAGCCGCAAGGCGAAGCUCUGAACUGAAGCCCCGGUAAACGGCGGCCGUAACUAUAACGGUCCUAAGGUAGCGAAAUUCCUUGUC
rnacentral:rRNA from 1 species